UACGUAGGGUGCAAGCGUUAUCCGGAAUUAUUGGGCGUAAAGAGCUCGUAGGCGGUUUGUCACGUCUGCUGUGAAAACUGGAGGCUCAACCUCCAGCCUGCAGUGGGUACGGGCAGACUAGAGUGCGGUAGGGGAGAUUGGAAUUCCUGGUGUAGCGGUGGAAUGCGCAGAUAUCAGGAGGAACACCGAUGGCGAAGGCAGGUCACUGGGCCACUACUGACGCUGAGGAGCGAAAGCAUGGGGAGCGAACAGG
rnacentral:rRNA from 1 species